AGAGUUUGAUCCUGGCUCAGGAUGAACGCUGGCGGCGUGCUUAACACAUGCAAGUCGAGCGAAGCACUUAAGUUUGAUUCUUCGGAUGAAGACUUUUGUGACUGAGCGGCGGACGGGUGAGUAACGCGUGGGUAACCUGCCUCAUACAGGGGGAUAACAGUUAGAAAUGACUGCUAAUACCGCAUAAGACCACAGCACCGCAUGGUGCAGGGGUAAAAACUCCGGUGGUAUGAGAUGGACCCGCGUCUGAUUAGGUAGUUGGUGGGGUAACGGCCUACCAAGCCGACGAUCAGUAGCCGACCUGAGAGGGUGACCGGCCACAUUGGGACUGAGACACGGCCCAGACUCCUACGGGAGGCAGCAGUGGGGAAUAUUGCACAAUGGGGGAAACCCUGAUGCAGCAACGCCGCGUGAAGGAUGACGGUUUUCGGAUUGUAAACUUCUUUUCUUAGUGACGAAGACAGUGACGGUAGCUAAGGAAUAAGCAUCGGCUAACUACGUGCCAGCAGCCGCGGUAAUACGUAGGAUGCAAGCGUUAUCCGGAUUUACUGGGUGUAAAGGGAGCGCAGGCGGGACUGCAAGUUGGAUGUGAAAUACCGUGGCUUAACCACGGAGCUGCAUCCAAAACUGUAGUUCUUGAGUGAAGUAGAGGCAAGCGGAAUUCCGAGUGUAGCGGUGAAAUGCGUAGAUAUUCGGAGGAACACCAGUGGCGAAGGCGGCUUGCUGGGCUUUAACUGACGCUGAGGCUCGAAAGUGUGGGGAGCAAACAGGAUUAGAUACCCUGGUAGUCCACACUGUAAACGAUGAUAGCUAGGUGUGGGGGGUCUGACCCCUUCCGUGCCGGAGUUAACGCAAUAAGCUAUCCACCUGGGGAGUACGACCGCAAGGUUGAAACUCAAAGGAAUUGACGGGGGCC
rnacentral:rRNA from 1 species